AAUCCAUGCAUCGAACAUUUCCUAAUUAACUCCUUAAAUUGCUCCCACGCUUCAUAUAGUGUUUCAUCUUCAAAUUGCCAAAAGGAUGUAAUAUCAUUUCUUAACUU
rfam:Gossypium hirsutum cultivar TM-1 chromosome 17, whole genome shotgun sequence